CAGCCGCCGCGGUAAUACGGAGGGUGCGAGCGUUAAUCGGAAUUACUGGGCGUAAAGCGCGCGUAGGCGGCUAGGUCAGUCGAAUGUGAAAGCCCUGGGCUUAACCUGGGAAUUGCAUCCGAUACUGCCUGGCUAGAAUAUGGGAGAGGGAAGUGGAAUUUCCGGUGUAGCGGUGAAAUGCGUAGAUAUCGGAAGGAACACCAGUGGCGAAGGCGACUUCCUGGCCCAAUAUUGACGCUGAGGUGCGAAAGCGUGGGUAGCGAACAGGAUUAGAUACCCUGGUAGUCCACGCCGUAAACGAUGAGAACUAGAUGUCGGGAGGAUUUACCUCUCGGUGUCGCAGCUAACGCGUUAAGUUCUCCGCCUGGGGAGUACGGUGGCAACACUAAAACUCAAAGGAAUUGACGGGGACCCGCACAAGCGGUGGAGCAUGUGGUUUAAUUCGAUGCAACGCGAAGAACCUUACCUGGUCUUGACAUCCUCGGAACUUUCCAGAAAUGGAUUGGUGCCUUCGGGAACCGAGUGACAGGUGCUGCAUGGCUGUCGUCAGCUCGUGUCGUGAGAUGUUGGGUUAAGUCCCGCAACGAGCGCAACCCUCACCUUCAGUUGCCAGCGGUUCGGCCGGGCACUCUGAAGGAACUGCCGGUGACAAGCCGGAGGAAGGCGGGGAUGACGUCAAGUCCUCAUGGCCCUUAUAGGCUGGGCUACACACGUGCUACAAUGGCGGUGACAGUGGGCAGCGACCCCGCAAGGGUGAGCUAAUCCCCAAAAACCGUCUCAGUUCGGAUUGUACUCUGCAACUCGAGUGCAUGAAGGUGGAAUCGCUAGUAAUCGUGGAUCAGCAUGCCACGGUGAAUACGUUCCCGGGCCCUGUACACACCGCCCGUCACACCAUGGGAGUUGGUUUUACCCGAAGCCGGUGCGCUAACCGCAAGGAGGCAGCCGUCCACGGUAAGGUCAGCGACUGGGGUGAAGUCGUAACAAGGUAACCGUA
rnacentral:rRNA from 1 species